rnacentral:piRNA from 1 species
UAGUUGGGCUUGAAAUGACUGUCUUCCUC